GGAUAUGAGGGUGAUCUGGCUGUGACAUAUGUCACCCCAUUCAUUGUCAGGGUUUAUUUGGCUUAUCUGGCUAGCUAGGCAGGUGUCACUCUCCUCCCUCAUUGAUCCAAGUGCAUCCCUCCCAAAGCUCAGGGCUUGAUUGAAGAGGACAACCUUCCCCCCAGAGCAAAGGGCUGGUCUUUGGUCAAGGGGAUACCAGUAGUAGUGCUCCCCUGCUAAAACCCCCAAACAAGCUCUCAAGGUCCCAAGCAACAAGGCCCUUAUACCUAUAGAUUGACAUUGAACUCAGAAUCCAAUUGUUUGUCUUU
rfam:Myotis brandtii contig264033, whole genome shotgun sequence.